AUGAACGGGAAUCGGUUGGUACGUGUGUCGUGCAGUGGCGGAUUUGGGCCCCAUGCAGCCCGGGCGCUGGCCUGGGGCGUGAGGCCCAUCUGCUUCGUUGACUGUAGCAAAGUGCUACAGUCAACAAAGGCUGCCUGGGCCCUGGCCCAGUUCGCCUGGGGCUUGGCCCAUUCCUGGGUCUGCCACUAUGUGUCGGUAAAAAAUGCCAUCUGCAGUUGUGCCAACAACGAUCGCACUAGGCAAGUACAACUCUUGCAUCAUUUUUCUUGGCGCUAUCUUCGGGAGCUUAAGGGAGAUCCUAUAGGUCCAUGGCUAGUAAUUGAAGAUUUUAACGAAAUUCUAAUGCCAAGUGAGAAGGAAGGUGGGAAUCCUUGACCACCGCAUAUGCUUCAAGCUUUUAGUGACCGUCUGUUUGAAUGUGGCCUAGACAGAGUUGAGUUUUUGACAGAUCAGUUUACAUGGAGACGUGGUGAUAUCGGGGAGAGACUAGAUCGGGCGGUAUGCAAUGAGAGACGGUCAACAAAGUUUCCACUGGCGGCGGUUGUUCUCAAGCACCAUGUGCACUCUGAUCAUCGAUCGUUGUAG
rnacentral:rRNA from 1 species